UACGAAGGGGGCUAGCGUUGCUCGGAAUUACUGGGCGUAAAGGGCGCGUAGGCGGACAGUUUAGUCAGAGGUGAAAGCCCAGGGCUCAACCUUGGAAUUGCCUUUGAUACUGGCUGUCUUGAGUUCGGGAGAGGUGAGUGGAAUGCCGAGUGUAGAGGUGAAAUUCGUAGAUAUUCGGCGGAACACCAGUGGCGAAGGCGGCUCACUGGCCCGAUACUGACGCUGAGGCACGAAAGCGUGGGGAGCAAACAGG
rnacentral:rRNA from 1 species